rnacentral:pre_miRNA from 15 species
AGUGCCUUAGAGUGAAGCUGACUUGCCAUUGCUUUGGCGCUUUAGCUGUAUGAUAGAUUUAAACUACUUCAUAAAGCUAGAUUACCAAAGCAUUGGCUUCUGCAGGUCAAUCGUCAGAAACAA